rnacentral:hammerhead_ribozyme from 1 species
GCACUGCAGAGGGGUCCCACAAUAGGAUGAAACGGCCGUCCAGUGC